UACAUCUAGAUCUGUGGGCCGUGACAAGUCAACUUGUGGUUUGUCAAGGUCCAGUUCUAUGAGCCGGGACAGUUCAAGUAGUCGUUCGUCCACGUCCGUGGGCCGGGACAGUUUAAGUAGUGUACCCAGGUCCCAGGCUGUGGAGAGCAAGUCCAUAGAUGGUCUUACACAUGAAAGUUCCAAAUACAAUAGGACUGUGCCAACCACAUUCCCGAUGUCAGAAG